rnacentral:rRNA from 1 species
AGAGUUUGAUCCUUGCUCAGAUUGAACGCUGGCGGCAGGCCUAACACAUGCAAGUCGAGCGGUAGCACAGAGAGCUUGCUCUCGGGUGACGAGCGGCGGACGGGUGAGUAAUGUCUGGGAAACUGCCUGAUGGAGGGGGAUAACUACUGGAAACGGUAGCUAAUACCGCAUAACGUCGCAAGACCAAAGAGGGGGACCUUCGGGCCUCUUGCCAUCAGAUGUGCCCAGAUGGGAUUAGCUAGUAGGUGGGGUAAUGGCUCACCUAGGCGACGAUCCCUAGCUGGUCUGAGAGGAUGACCAGCCACACUGGAACUGAGACACGGUCCAGACUCCUACGGGAGGCAGCAGUGGGGAAUAUUGCACAAUGGGCGCAAGCCUGAUGCAGCCAUGCCGCGUGUAUGAAGAAGGCCUUCGGGUUGUAAAGUACUUUCAGCGAGGAGGAAGGCAUUGUGGUUAAUAACCGCAGUGAUUGACGUUACUCGCAGAAGAAGCACCGGCUAACUCCGUGCCAGCAGCCGCGGUAAUACGGAGGGUGCAAGCGUUAAUCGGAAUUACUGGGCGUAAAGCGCACGCAGGCGGUCUGUCAAGUCGGAUGUGAAAUCCCCGGGCUCAACCUGGGAACUGCAUUCGAAACUGGCAGGCUAGAGUCUUGUAGAGGGGGGUAGAAUUCCAGGUGUAGCGGUGAAAUGCGUAGAGACCUGGAGGAAUACCGGUGGCGAAGGCGCCCCCCUGGACAAAGACUGACGUUCAGGUGCGAAAGCGUGGGGAGCAAACAAAAUUAGAUACCCUGGUAGUCCACGCCGUAAACGAUCUCACAUGGGAGGUUUUCCCUUGAGGAGGGGCUUCCGGAAGCUAACGCGGUAAGUCGGCCGCCUGGGGAGUACGGCCGCAAAGGUUAAAAUUCAAAUGAAUUGACGGGGGCCCGCACAAGCGGUGGAGCAUGUGGUUUAAUUCGAUGCAACGCGAAGAACCUUACCUACUCUUGACAUCCAGAGAACUUAGCAGAGAUGCUUUGGUGCCUUCGGGAACUCUGAGACAGGUGCUGCGUGGCUGUCGUCAGCUCGUGUUGU